rnacentral:rRNA from 1 species
CUACGGGGGGCAGCAGUGGGGAAUUUUGGACAAUGGGCGAAAGCCUGAUCCAGCAAUGCCGCGUGAGUGAAGAAGGCCUUCGGGUUGUAAAGCUCUUUUGUCAGGGAAGAAACGGUGAGAGCUAAUAUCUCUUGCUAAUGACGGUACCUGAAGAAUAAGCACCGGCUAACUACGUGCCAGCAGCCGCGGUAAUACGUAGGGUGCAAGCGUUAAUCGGAAUUACUGGGCGUAAAGCGUGCGCAGGCGGUUUUGUAAGUCUGAUGUGAAAUCCCCGGGCUCAACCUGGGAAUUGCAUUGGAGACUGCAAGGCUAGAAUCUGGCAGAGGGGGGUAGAAUUCCACGUGUAGCAGUGAAAUGCGUAGAUAUGUGGAGGAACACCGAUGGCGAAGGCAGCCCCCUGGGUCAAGAUUGACGCUCAUGCACGAAAGCGUGGGGAGCAAACAGGAUUAGAUACCCUGGUAGUCCACGCCCUAAACGAUGUCUACUAGUUGUCGGGUCUUAAUUGACUUGGUAACGCAGCUAACGCGUGAAGUAGACCGCCUGGGGAGUACGGUCGCAAGAUUAAAACUCAAAGGAAUUGACGGGGACCCGCACAAGCGGUGGAUGAUGUGGAUUAAUUCGAUGCAACGCGAAAAACCUUACCUACCCUUGACAUGGCUGGAAUCCUCGAGAGAUUGAGGAGUGCUCGAAAGAGAACCAGUACACAG